rnacentral:rRNA from 1 species
AUUGAACGCUGGCGGCAUGCCUAACACAUGCAAGUCGAACGAGUGGCGGACGGGUGAGUAAUGUAUGGGAACCUGCCCGGUGGCGGGGGAUAACUACUGGAAACGGUAGCUAAUACCGCAUACCAUCGGAUGUGCCCAUAUGGGAUUAGCUAGUAGGUGGGGUAACGGCUCACCUAGGCCACGAUCCCUAGCUGGUCUGAGAGGAUGACCAGCAACACUGGAACUGAGACACGGUCCAGACUCCUACGGGAGGCAGCAGUGGGGAAGAUUGCACAAUGGGCGAAAGUCUGAUGCAGCCAUGCCGCGUGUAUGAAGAAGGCCUUCGGGUUGUAAAGUACUGUCAGCGGGGAGGCGUUACCCGAAGAAGAAGCACCGGCUAACUCCGUGCCAGCAGCCGCGGUAAUAC